rnacentral:rRNA from 1 species
ACAGCAGUAGCCGCGGGAAUACGUAGGUCCCGAGCGUUGUCCGGAUUUAUUGGGCGUAAAGCGAGCGCAGGCGGUUAGAUAAGUCUGAAGUUAAAGGCUGUGGCUUAACCAUAGUACGCUUUGGAAACUGUUUAACUUGAGUGCAAGAGGGGAGAGUGGAAUUCCAUGUGUAGCGGUGAAAUGCGUAGAUAUAUGGAGGAACACCGGUGGCGAAAGCGGCUCUCUGGCUUGUAACUGACGCUGAGGCUCGAAAGCGUGGGGAGCAAACAGGAUUAGAUACCCCAGUAGUCCCUGUCUCUUAUACA